ensembl:lncRNA
UAAAGUUUUUGUAUUGGGUAAAGGUAUUAAUUAUGCAUAAAACUUCUAUAUAUAGCUACCCAAAAAUACAAUUACAUUUCAUAAUUGAGUAUCUGUUCAUCUAAUUUCAUUUAAACAUUUGGUUUUAGUUUAUUUUUAGUAUCACGGUAAUUGUCCAGAAAUUCAUAAAACAUUCAAAGCAUGAAAGCAGCUACCCAAGAAUGUGAUGGAAAUCGGAAUUGUAUGCCUGAAUUUACAUUGCAAUUUGCCCAGGUUUUAAAUCAACACUGAAUGUGUCAAAAGUGGGGACAUAAAGUUCACACUGGAAGAAGUAUUGAGUUAUAAACCGGGUGGAUCAGUAUAGAAUAUUAAUUUGCAGAAAGCUGUGGUAUAUUUAUUCUACUCAGAUAUACAGGAACCUCCUCAUGUAUUUGAACAGUGGCAUCUUUUUUUGACUCUGCAUUCCAGGUCCAAGUUGUUUUUUUGGACAAUGGUUUGAAAGAGCACACUGUCAGAUUUGAUAUGAGGGUAUUUGUGAACUAUUCAGAAAUUACAAUAUUUUUUCAAUCAAUCCAGUCUACCUCAAAAUGCGAACUAUGUGCGGACUAUAUACAGUCUGCCUCAAAAUAAAACUAUACUUAAUUUGUUUAUAUACCCAAUGUAACAAAUUUAAUACCCAAUGUAACCCAAUGUAUUAUGCACCUACUGUAUAAGGUAAGGGUAAUUGCUAGUGUUUGGAUUAUUUUAGGAACAAAUCACAGACAAAAUCACAGACAAAAUGUCUGACUGUAAUACAACAUAUUGAAACUCACUCUGUACAGUGUGCUGGCCUGCAAAGUGAUGAGCUAUGUCAGUCCAACCAGAGUGGAAAUAUCUAUCAUCUGGAAUACGUUUUUCAAAUGAUAUAAAGUACCAGAAUGACAAGGGGCCUAAUAUUAAACUAGUUAUUAAACAAUGAAUUCAAAUAACAGUUUUUUUCUGUAGAGUAAGAUUAAUUCAUUAAACAAUAUAUACGCACCGAAAUGGAUAGCAAAAAAUACAAAACUGAAAUAGUGCAUGCUGGGAAAUAUGAUGAUGAACAUGGCUCAAAGGGAUGUAAAUGAAUUUUGGGCACCUAUAUUAUAAUUCCUUAAUAAUCUGAAUAAACAAUUAUGUCUGAAGUCAAAUCCUAAGGACACAAACAUAUGCACACAACAACAUGUUUCUGUUACUAACAAAUACAGUCAUAGUUGAUCAUGAGAUCACUCAACCGAAACACAAGGCACACUGGGAAAUGCUAAAUGUUGUUCAAACGAAUCAAUACAAAGCGAAUUUAACGCAAUUUAUGAAUGUACAUUUUUUUCAAAGAUAUAACACAGCAUUUUCAUACACGGUACCACUUUUCGUACUCUCUGGGGAGAAUUAAAUUGAUACAAAAUAGAAUAAAAUUGAUAAAAAAAAUAAAGGUGCAAUAUUUUUCUACUGUCCCCAACGAUAAUCCAAGCUAAACCCUGCAGUCUAAAAGGUGUACUUUGUGGUCUGCCUGUAGAGGCCCCUAAAGCAGUGAGCCAUCAACAUGUGUCUCCUGAUGGGCUCUGUGUGCAGUUUUCUGUUUGGUUCUGAAAGUGAAAGGCAAGUCAGUGGAAACAGAUUUGGGUGAUAACAAAAAGGUUCCAUUUGAUCUUACCAGGAAGUAAAACUAAGACACCAUAUCACACAGGAGCUGGAACCAUUCAUAGGUGUCCCGGUUAACAGAUGAACAACUGUACAGUUUCCCCCGUGUUUGAGGAGAAAUGAUGUGAUUCACAAGUUGAUAAAGCUUCUCCACUCUGAGGGGGCUCGGAGGAGGAAGUGGUAUUACUAGUUAGAGAGGGUGAAUGGGGGGGUCCUGUGGCUUUUUGUAACCACUACAGUGAUUGCACCUGUAAACUUUAAUGUCAUCUGUAGAAAAUAACUUUCUUUGGCCCAGAAAGACCACAAAUGUUUGCUAUCUAACCAACAACAUCUCUUGAAAUCUGGCCCUUGUUUUGGAGGUUGUGGGUUGAGCAGCGGAUUUUUAUGUGAGGUUUAAUGUGAAAUGUAACUGCUAUACCACUUCCACUGUCACUUUUUGGAAGUCUAAUGUUCACACGUUAGACUGAUUUUGCAGACACAGAUUAAUAUCAAGAUCAAAGGAAAACUGCAUUGAGCUUGACUUUUUUUCUCCUAGGCUAAGCUUAAUCUGUUAUUGCAGAACCAGCCCUUGGGCUUUCAGAUUACAACCUCCCUUUCCUGCUCAGAUUGUUUCAAUAUGAACCAACUAAUUGGGGUUGUCAUUCUUGCUUUUCGAUUGAUUGAACUUUUAGUUGAUGAAUUUGUGUUUAACUGAUAUUUAAUACUUUAAUCAUUUCUAACACGCUAACCAGCAACUUAAUCAUCCUUCUCUCAGGAGUUAACCACAACAUUUCUGCCAGCUCACACUCUUUCCUAACCUCAAUUGUGACCACAGGCCGUCCACCUAUAAUUGCUGGUAAUUGUUUUUCUAUAUAACCAUCCCUGCUUACUCAUUGCGAUAAGGGUCUUCAUAGCAGCAUGCUGUCAAUAGUUUUUUAGUUUGUUUUUCCAGAGAGUUAAUGAAAAUUGUCUUUACUUGUUUUCUGAAUGGGACCAGUCAGACUGCAUGACUGUCAGAGAUUAGUCUGAAUAUGUAAAAGAGACAAAUUAAGUGUGUCUGCAAUCUUAGAAAUGUUGAUAAUUACAUUUAUGGGUGGCCAGAAAUAUCUAUCUGCACACCAUGCUUCUAAUAAGCAACACCGUUCAUAUGAAGCUUUAAAAUUACAAUAGAGAUUUCAAAAGGUGCAAAAUUGAAAAUUCAGUUUCAGGUUUGAACCUUUACACAGUGGAUCUGCAAAGAUUCUUUGCAGAAGCCUUCCUCAUGGGACAUUUUUGAUCUCCUAAGGUUUUAAUAGCAUGGCAACCCAAAAAUGUAGUUUAUGCAUCUUUACUUCAAUGAGUUCAUGUGUUGUAAAAUAAAUAAUGACAUGUCGACAAUGCCUGUAAUAAUACUAACGCUUAACUGAAUCACACCUGCAGUAAUAUACAUGGAAUAUUUACAAUUCCUUUACUAUCAUUUAUCCAUUUAUUAAGAAUUUCUUUCCACAAAUAUUAACUAACUUUUAAGUUGUAUUUCUAAUAACAUGUAUUCAGUUACCCGGAGUGUAGUGGCCAGAGAAGGACAGGACCUCAACUUAAUGUGCAGCAACAAAACUUGGAAUGAGAUGAUCUACACCAUUUGGAAAAUAAACAUUGAUGGAUCCGAGUGUCAAGUAUCAUUUGAUAAUCAAAAGGAACUUAACACAUGCAACGAUGGAAAGCAAAUGCACAACUCAACCAGAGGUGAAUCCUACCUGCUUAUUCCUCAGUUCUCAGUCAGGGACCAGGGUGUCUACCACUGUGAGUCAGUCUACAAAGGUGGGAUCAACUCUCAAGACAUUACCGUAACAAUUAUAGCCCCUCCCGAGGUUAAAUUCCAGCUGGAAAUGAUCGAAGGGAGAAGAGUGGCUGUGUGUUUGGUUAAAGGCAAACCAGCUGCCUCCAUUUCAUGGAGAAACACGUGGAACUCUUCAAUCACCCCGCAGAACACCAAUGACUCAAACCAAGUGACCAGUUCUCUACCCUUGCCAGAAGGCGUCAAUACCGAAAACCUGACCUGUGCAGUCACACAUCCAUUCUGGAACCAGGAGAAAAUGUAUCUACCGACAAACGAGACAGUUGAAGCCACCCAAGACACCCGGCCUUGGCUUCUAGUCAGCAUCUCUGUGGUAACUAUAACGAUCAGCGUCAUCAUGGUAACCCUGGGCGGUUUAUACUUUACACGAAAACACCUCUGCAGAAUAAGAGCCGCCACGCCGUCGGUGUCCAAGGCUCCGCAGCCACAGGACUGUGUGGAGGAAGUGGAGCCCUACGCCAGCUAUGUUCAGCGAGUCAAUUCCAUCUACAACUCCUCUGCAGAGCUUUUCACAUAGCACACGCUCACGCACUCACAUGCACAUCUCACCGUGACGCUGUGAGAAAAUGCCAGUAGAUGAAAGUUAGAAAAGCCACCAUGAGACAGUAAAUGAAACAGAGAGAGAGAGAGAGAGAGAGAGAGAGAGAGAGAGAGAGCGAGAGAGAUCAGGGCCAUCACACAUUAAAUACAACCACCUGGGUUUGAUCAGUCCCGACUGCGGAGGCUGAUGGAACAUGGACAUAACCGACGCAGUCACACCCCCAUCGGCCUUGUUGGCUGAAACCAGCUGAACCCAGGAAAAAUACCCCCUUUAGACAGUUGACAAAAACUUGGCUACAAUACAAAGUGUAAAGACGUUGUUUCUAGAAGGCUGUAGCACAGGAGAACGGACGUCGUCCAGGAACGCAGGCAGUCCGCUCAAGCAAGCCGGUUCUCUCCCCAGUCAGAGGCAACGCGCCCAGUCAGAGGCAACGCGCCCAGUCAGAGGCAACGCGCCCAGUCAGAGGCAACGCGCCCAGUCAGAGGCAACGCGCCCAGUCAGACUCGGUUCUCACGAUAAAAUGGGUACCUGAGUGGGAACCGUUGAGGAUCCGUUUUAUGCACUAGGUCAGCUCCUGGAUAAAAUGUCAAGUCAAACAGCAGUAGUUUCCAUCUCUUCAGUCACUGAAAGAAAUGAUGCCCUCAAAUCUCCCUACACCUCCAGUAAACACAGCCUAAAUCCUCCUGAUGGUCCUGUCAGACCACUAAACGGCUUUUGUUGUGUUAAGCUGGGGUCCCCGUAGAUGCUCUGCCUGAACCACAGGCCUGUGUUUCCAUGAUGGCUUGGACAACUUGUCUCACUACUAUAGCGACACCUAUAAAAUAAUGGCUCACUAGAGCUAAAGCAUGAGAAAAUGACAGAAAACACAGAAAUGUCUAGAAACAAAGAAACACAAGAGCUGGUCUGAGAUGUUGGCAGUUAUUGAUUUUUUGUUGGAAAUUGCUUGAAACUGUGAUUGUUCCGUCACAACUGUAAACCAAAUAGCACAAUGUUCUCACGUGCCUGUGUUUCUUCUGCAAAAAUUACAUUUCAUCAAUAUCUCUGUUGUGUAUGAUAGCUAUGUACUGUAUAAUAGCCAUGAUUAGUGUUGACUUUUUAUUUAUGAUUCAAUUUAAAUUUCAUGGUUGUGUUAUUACUUGAAAUGUUAAACUUUGUGUUCGACAGUUUCAGAUGGGAAAAAGGCUGCAUGCCCUUUGCUUUGAAGAAGAAUUCUCCAGAAGUGAAGCUUAGUAUAUCUGUUUGUAUUGAUAUAAGUCAUACCAUGUGACACUGUCAUGUUAAACUGCAGGGGACCCCUCUGCUGGAGAAGGGUGGUACUCAGUGAAUGGGAACAUUUAUUUCCUUUCUAUGAAAAUGUUUUCUAGGUUUUUGCUUACAAAAAUUAAAGGGAACGGAGGAAUUUAAAAAUGAAUACUGUGAAAACCUUUGAUGGAUUUCUCACUUUCAAAAACGUAGACAUUUCAGAGAGAUCACAGAGUUUGUGUAGGAGACCAGCAGAGGAAGCACUGCUUGAAUAGACACAACGUGAUCUAUAGUGACAAAGCAAAUGAAACAUUUUAGUGUAUGCCAAACAUUUCCAAUCCACACCUACACAUUCCUGCAGGUUACCCACUUGUACGUAUGAGAAACAGGACAGGCACAGUAAUAGGAACACCUACUUGACAAAUGACUUCAGUCUGAGUCACUGUGAGAAACAAAAUUAUACAUGGCAAAGCAAUAAAAGACUGUGAAUCAAAGAGCUUGAUUACACUGAGGAAUUAGUAACUAGUAAUAAGCUGUUACUAAAUUUCACAAAAUGGAAAGGGCAUAUUUGGGGCAAAUCUCCAUCCCCUGUCUAGCAUUGCAUCAUAACAGAGAACACAAGCCACCAGAGGUCUCUUCUAGACAAUACUAGCAAUGACGGCAAAAAAACAGAGCAACAUCUGCUAGCAUAUGGAGGACCAAAAUGAAAUAAUAUAAAAAAUAUUUAAAUGCAUAAUUAUUUUAAGUGGUA